UGCUCGGGCUAGGUGGAGGGGUAGCCGUCCUCCCGUGCGCGAAACCGGCUAUAGCGCGGCCGAAUCCCGGUCAUGAAGGACUGCAACCGUAGACGCCGCCAAGACGGAUCGACGACCUUCUGUCCGGGAAGACUGCCCUAAUUGUUGAACCCCGCCAGGCCCGGAAGGGAGCAACGGCAGGCCAUUAGGAUGGUGCUUCUCGGGUCGCGGAAGCGAGAGACGGAUUGGCAUCCGCGCCUGCGCGACCGGUAUCGGUGAUCGGGGCCCGCUA
rnacentral:SRP_RNA from 1 species